CCAGCAGCCAUGAAGACUUUCCUGCUCCACUUUCUAUCACUGGCCUGCUUGUCAGGUGUCCAGUCUCAAGAACAACUUGUCCAGUCAUCAGACCCAGUGGUGAUAAAGCCUGGGAAUUCCCAUAAACUCUCAUGUAAAGCGUCUGGAUUCACCUUCAGUAGCUACUGGAUGCACUGGGUUAGACAGACUCCUGGCAGAGGAUUGCAGUGGUUGGCUUAUAUUAGACAUGACGGGAGUAGCACAAGCUAUGAUGAUUCUGUAAAAGGACGAUUCACAUUCUCCAGAGAUAACAGUAAUAACAUGUUAUAUCUACAAAUGGACAAUGUGAAGACUGAGGACACUGCCGUCUAUUACUGUGCUAGAGACGCUGAGAAACUGGGCAAGGAGGUCAGUCUAGGCAGGAUGGCGGGCCCCUUUUCGGCUCCACCAUUGCCGAAUUUGCGGGUGUCACCGUUGGGGGUGGUUCCGAAGAAGGAGUGGGACCGUUUCCGGCAGUUGGCUCCAGAGGCGGAAGAGUUUGGGAGGGAAUGCCCGAGUUGUCUAUGGGAGGUACUGGAAGAACGGUAG